GGCCGACUAGCUCAGUUGGUUAGAGCGUGGUGCUAAUACCUUACUGUCCUGCUCUGUAUCUUCCCUGAUACGGGUCUAGAUGGUGGUUACGCCAAGGUCGUCGGUUCGACCCCGGCGUUGGCCA